rnacentral:rRNA from 1 species
ACGCAGUAGCAUACUGAGUGGCAACGGGUGAGUAUAUGUGGGAAUCUGCCUUUUGGUUUGGAAUAACACGGGGAAACUUGUGCUAAUACCGAAUAAGCCCUUACGGGGAAAGUUUUAACUGCCGAAAGAUGAGCCCGCACUUGAUUAGCUAGUUGGUAAGGUAAAAGCUUACCAAGGCAAUGAUCAAUAGCUGUUCUUAGAGGAAGACCAGCCACAUUGGGACUGAGACACGGCCCAGACUCCUACGGGAGGCAGCAGUGGGGAAUCUUGCACAAUGGGGGAAACCCUGAUGCAGCGAUGCCGCGUGAGUGAAGAAGGCCUUUGGGUUGUAAAACUCUUUCGUCGGGGAAGAAAAUGACUUGUACCCGAAUAAGAAGGUCCGGCUAACUUCGUGCCAGCAGCCGCGGUAAUAACGAAGGGACCUAGCGUAGUUCGGAAUUACUGGGCUUAAAGAGCUCGUAGGUGGGUACAACACUUGAUGGUGAAAUCCCCAGCGCUUAACUCUGGAACUGCCAUCAAAACUUUUUAAGCUAAAGUGGACAGACGGAAGUGGAAUUCUAGUGUAGACGGGACAUUCGUAGAUACUUAGAAGAACCCCAAUUGGAAGGCACAUUCUGGGGCCCUACGCACUGAGGAGCGAACGCUGGUUGCGAAGACGGUUAUAUACCCCUUAGUCAUGCGGCAACAAUUGUGUAACGUUGA